rnacentral:rRNA from 1 species
UGGGGAAUCUUGGACAAUGGGCGAAAGCCUGAUCCAGCCAUGCCGCGUGAGUGAAGAAGGCCCUAGGGUUGUAAAGCUCUUUCAGCGGGGAAGAUAAUGACGGUACCCGCAGAAGAAGCCCCGGCUAACUUCGUGCCAGCAGCCGCGGUAAUACGAAGGGGGCUAGCGUUGUUCGGAAUUACUGGGCGUAAAGCGCGCGUAGGCGGUCUGUCGCGUCAGGUGUGAAAGCCCCGGGCUCAACCUGGGAGGUGCACUUGAUACGGGCGGGCUGGAAUCCGGGAGAGGAUGGUGGAAUUCCCAGUGUAGAGGUGAAAUUCGUAGAUAUUGGGAAGAACACCGAUGGCGAAGGCAGCCAUCUGGCCCGGGAUUGACGCUGAGGCGCGAAAGCGUGGGGAGCAAACAGGAUUAGAUACCCCCGUAGUCC